rnacentral:lncRNA from 1 species
AAUCUCAACUUGGUGAGCUGUUCACCAACUUCAGAAAGAUAGAACGGUAACCGAAGGCAUUUUAGCGGGUAUUCAUACAAUCAGUUCAUAGCAGAUGCCUGGAGAAAUAAUCUGUCACUCGCCAGGCCUGUACUUGAUGCUAAUAUAUAAGCACACACGAGUUUCGGCUGUUUGAUCAAUAUGGGCACCAAUUUUUGGCGGCAGCAGUCUUAUAUCCUCAAGCCUUGUUGCUUGCUGCGGUGCUCGUGUAUCCUCAAGCCUCAUCGCUCCCAAG